rfam:Sparrow coronavirus HKT17 strain HKT17-6124, complete genome.
AAUUGUAGGGUUUCAGGCCUUUAUAACAUGGAUUCUUGUCGUACGCCCACGUAUGGCAAACUUCAUGCUUGGCCAACCAAUUCUUGUGCGCAAGCACCAAAUGAUAUAGCCAGAGAGCCAGUCAGAGGGCGCUACCAUGCAAACUAGGGCUGGCUACUCUAGCACAGAAUCACAUCUCGAUAAGCAACAGUGCUAGAAGGUUGCUUAUACCAUUUAAUAUGCCGAGGCCACGCGGAGUACGAUCGAGGGUACAGCAUAAUCUCAACUUUUGUUGAGCCACAAUUUUAAUCCUAAUUGGAGAAGGCCAAAGGACUGUACUACUUUUGUAGGUGUAGCAGUCGCCCAAUGGGAAAGCGCCAACUAGGUUACAAUUGUGGUGGGGACAAAUUAGGGGAAAUUAAAUUGGCUUAUAGGGGGGAUGGAGC